ACGCGACCCCAGGUCAGGCGGGACCACCCGCUGAGUUUAAGCAUAUCAAUAAGCGGAGG
rnacentral:rRNA from 29 species